rnacentral:rRNA from 1 species
UGGGGAAUUUUGGACAAUGGGGGAAACCCUGAUCCAGCCAUCCCGCGUGUGCGAUGAAGGCCUUCGGGUUGUAAAGCACUUUUGGCCGGAAAGAAACGUCAUGGGUUAAUACCCCGUGAAACUGACGGUACCUGCAGAAUAAGCACCGGCUAACUACGUGCCAGCAGCCGCGGUAAUACGUAGGGUGCAAGCGUUAAUCGGAAUUACUGGGCGUAAAGCGUGCGCAGGCGGUUCGGAAAGAAAGAUGUGAAAUCCCAGAGCUCAACUUUGGAACUGCAUUUUUAACUACCGGGCUAGAGUGUGUCAGAGGGAGGUGGAAUUCCGAGUGUAGCAGUGAAAUGCGUAGAUAUGCGGAGGAACACCGAUGGAGAAGGCAGCCUCCUGGGAUAACACUGACGCUCAUGCACGAAAGCGUGGGGAGCAAACAGG